CUCUCUCUCUCUCUCUCUCUCUCUCUCUCUCUCUCUCCCUUUAGAUGCAGCGACAGCCAUCGCCAUCUCCACCUCUACUAUACCUUUCUCAAUCGACCCUCUCUCUCUAUUUCCCCUUUUCCCUAUCUCAAUCGACCAUCUCUCUUCGUUUCCCCUUUCUCAAUCCACUUCUACUCCUCUAUGGUUUCUCUCUCUCUCUCUCUCUCUCUCUCUCUCUCUCUCUCAGGGGUUUUUAAUCUCUAUCUCUCUUUUAACAUGUCUAAGGAUGAGAUACGAGGAUCUCUGCAAUCCGAUGACAUCAAGGAAGCUUUAGCCACUUGCAUCUCAAGCAUUCAAUGGAUCUCUCUAGAAAGCACGAAUAUCUCCCCGAAGAUCUACAGGUCGGUGGAUAGUAACAUUCUUACGCUGAUAUAAUUGAAUCUUGUUUGGCUUCCAUUCAUCAAUACAACCAAGACACAAUGACAAAAGCUAAUGGAACUUCGAACCGAUAGGGAUCUUGCUGGCCGAAACUGGUCUGCUUCAAUGAUCUGCUCAUUUGGUGAAGGCUCUCCUUCACCUAUGGUGAAACCGAACUGCAGAUUGAACUGAUGAGAGUGAAAGGUGGCAAAUGACAGGUUGAACUAGACGGUCUAUAUUAAGGUAGUUCAGACAUCUGUUCAUUAGCAUUUAAAAAGUACAUCUGUUGAUAUAUAUGA